rnacentral:rRNA from 1 species
GACGAACGCUGGCGGCGUGCCUAAUACAUGCAAGUAGAACGCUGAAGAGAGGAGCUUACUCUUCUUGGAUGAGUUGCGAACGGGUGAGUAACGCGUAGGUAACCUGCCUUGUAGCGGGGGAUAACUAUUGGAAACGAUAGCUAAUACCGCAUAACAAUGGAUGACACAUGUCAUUUAUUUGAAAGGGGCAAUUGCUCCACUACAAGAUGGACCUGCGUUGUAUUAGCUAGUAGGUGAGGUAAUGGCUCACCUAGGCGACGAUACAUAGCCGACCUGAGAGGGGGAUCGGCCACACUGGGACUGAGACACGGCCCAGACUCCUACGGGAGGCAGCAGUAGGGAAUCUUCGGCAAGGGGGGCAACCCUGACCGAGCAACGCCGCGUGAGUGAAGAAGGUUUUCGGAUCGUAAAGCUCUGUUGUAAGUCAAGAACGGGUGUGAGAGUGGAAAGUUCACACUGUGACGGUAGCUUACCAGAAAGGGACGGCUAACUACGUG